GAGAUGAUACAUUACCAGGUGACAGCA
rnacentral:sRNA from 1 species